GCGCCCUUGGUGUAGUGGUAACACACAAUCUACCUUUGAGAAUUUCGAUCGGCUCUGGGAUUGGGUCCGGGGUUCGAGUCCCCGAGGGUGCA